GGCACGCCCAUGUCACGUGAUAGUAUUCGCGUCACACAUUCACACACGUGCUACCACAAUCCAGAGCUGUGGUGGUAAACGGAGGUGAACAUGGCCGAUGUGUCGGAAAGGACGUUACAAGUGGCUAUUCUAGUUUCGUUUGCUGCUGGUUUUGUAGCUGGGUGGCAGGCAAACAGAAUGCGAAGAAGAUUCUUGGAUUGGCGAAAAAAGCGUUUGCAGGACAAACUCGCAGAAACACAGAAAAAGCUGGACCUGUCAUGACAGAUACAGUUAAAUGUGAGCAGUGAACAAAAUACUAUUAAACCGACUUUGUGUCUAGAAAAGACAACAAAGCCAUCUGUACUAUAGUGACAGCAGUUUUGACUUCACAACCGGAUUGAGGGAUCUGCCUUAAAUAACAGCAUUUCUCCAGAAUUUACCAGGAUUCAGGCUUUCAACCUUGGAUCAAAGACACUCCACUGGAUAGAGAAAAAACAUUGCAAAUAAUGUCAGACAAAGACACUUGAGAAAAAUGUUGUAUUUGUAGGUUUUCCUUUCUGUAAUAUUUGUUCAAUCCCAAACCGUGUUGUUUCCAUGUAUGUGCUGUUUUAUUUGCCUGUGGCAGUUGAAAUAAAAAAAUAUUUUUAUUAACUGUU